rnacentral:lncRNA from 1 species
AGUGACCUUGAACAUCAAAUUGCGACGAGAACAUCUUUCUCACUUCCGCUAAAUCAGGUCUGUCAUAAGAGAAUUUUAGGAUAACUGCCUGAUGUAACCCUUCUUCCUUAGUGAAGUUGUUAACCUCUUCCAUUGUUAAUUGAAUUAUAGGUCAUCAUGAUCGUAAAUAACUGGACAUAGCUCUAUUGUAGUCGGAGCUGUCUGUUUUGCUUGUACAGUUGAAGCAUAUGAUUGUUUGAACUUAUCAUUUGAAACAGAAACCUCUCCCACAGCCAAAGGCUGGGGAGAGGUCCGCG